CCUACGGGAGGCAGCAGUAGGGAAUAUUGCUCAAUGGGGGAAACCCUGAAGCAGCAACGCCGCGUGGAGGAUGAAGGUUUUCGGAUUGUAAACUCCUUUUGUUAGAGAAGAUAAUGACGGUAUCUAACGAAUAAGUACCGGCUAACUCCGUGCCAGAAGCCGCGGUAAUACGGGGGGUGCAAGCGUUACUCGGAAUCACUGGGCGAAAAGAUCGCGUAGGCGGGAUAGCAAGAAGGAUGUGAAAUCCUAUGGCUUAACCAUAGAACUGUAUUGAAAACUGUUAUUUUAGAGGAAGGGAGAGGUAGGGGGAAUUCUUGGUGUAGGGGUAAAAUCGGUAGAG
rnacentral:rRNA from 1 species